GACAGAGGUGGCAAGCGUUGUUCGGAUUUACUGGGCGUAAAGAGUGCGUAGGUGGUGAGGUAAGAUCUGUGGGAAAGACCUGGGCUUAACCCAGGAAGGUCGCAGAUGACUGCCUCGCUGGAGGACGGGAGAGGAGAGCGGAAUUCCCGGUGUAGCGGUGAAAUGCGUAGAGAUCGGGAAGAAGGCCGGUGGCGAAGGCGGCUCUCUGGACGGCAAUUGACGCUGAGACGCGAAAGCGUGGGUAGCAAACAGG
rnacentral:rRNA from 1 species